UAGGGAAUCUUCGGCAAUGGGGGGAACCCUGACCGAGCAACGCCGCGUGAGUGAAGAAGGUUUUCGGAUCGUAAAGCUCUGUUGUUAAGGAAGAACGAGUGUGAGAAUGGAAAGUUCAUACUGUGACGGUACUUAACCAGAAAGGGACGGCUAACUACGUGCCAGCAGCCGCGGUAAUACGUAGGUCCCGAGCGUUGUCCGGAUUUAUUGGGCGUAAAGCGAGCGCAGGCGGUUAGAUAAGUCUGAAGUUAAAGGCAGUGGCUCAACCAUUGUAGGCUUUGGAAACUGUUUAACUUGAGUGCAGAAGGGGAGAGUGGAAUUCCAUGUGUAGCGGUGAAAUGCGUAGAUAUAUGGAGGAACACCAGUGGCGAAGGCGACUUUCUGGUCUGUAACUGACGCUGAUGUGCGAAAGCGUGGGAAUCAAACAGG
rnacentral:rRNA from 1 species